rnacentral:lncRNA from 1 species
UUCUAUGUAUAGCUCACAUCGUAUAGCAAAUUUAAGGCAUAUCAUUGGGUCCCAUCACAUGUUUUGGGGCGGAGUAAAGGGGGCAUCAUGCAUGCAUGGCUCUGAGUUGGGCAGUACUGGAUUAGGCAGUACUGAAACUGAUUGAAAUAUGAAAUUGAAAUUGACGUGAGAUUGAAAUAUGAAAUUAGAAGGCAUAAUGUGAGACUGAAACAUGAAAUUGAAAUUGAAAUUUUCAGACCAGACCAGUUUCAGUAAUACGACCAUUUCAAUAAAUGUGAGACCAAAAUAUAAAAUUUAAAUGCAACAAUUAUAUAUAAUGCAAACAAAGAUCAUGCAUUUAAAAAUUAGUUCCAUAUUUCAAAGAAAUGUUCACAAACUUGAAAAAAAGUUACACAGAUUUGGAAAAUGUUCACAAAUUCGAAGAAGUUCACAUAAAAAAAUAAGAAAACAAAGAAAAAUGAAAAGUCCCUAAGAAAAACCGCCCAAACAAAUAACCCAGCAGAAAAAAAAAGGAACCCAGAAGUUGCUAGAAGCUUCCCAAAACUGAAUAUAUAUACUACUGUUGUAUUACAUGGAUAUAUAUAUACUACUGAAUAUAUAUACUACUGUUGUAUUACAUGGGCUGUCCUGUUAGUACCGGCGGGGGUGUGCGCCAUAUACCAAAUUGUCUAUAAGUGGCGCCUUGAGCGCCGAAUAGGAAUGGGCGUGGAAAUGGUCCACUUACAGACCUCUGGGUACGUACAGAGUUCAUCAAGCCUUUACUUGCAAAAAAAAAGGUUCAUCUAGCCAGUCAGUGAGCGAAAGUACCUUUCUACACCUGAGCUCAUAUGCUCCUGGUGUGAAAAGUAAACUAAAUAAAAUAAAAGAACAUUUCAAAAAAUUCAGAAUUUCUUUUAUGGCAUACUUUAAGAAAUGUUUGUUGUGCAUGCAAAAUUUCAUCACGAAAUCACAUUGGUGGAAGUCGUGACAAAAAAAACAAAAUCAGAGUUCCAAAAUGCGUUUGAAAGUAACAUUUUCAGAGUUUCAAUUUUGUUUUUACCAUGCCUUCCACCAAUGUCAUCUCGUGAUGAAAUUUUGCAUGCACAACAAACAUCUCUUAAAGUAUGCCGCAAUUUUUUUUUCAGAAUUUUUCUAAAUAUUUUCUAUUUUAUUUAGUUUACUGUUCACACCAGGAGCAUAUGAGCUCAGGUGUAGAAACUCCACGUCCGUCAGUGAGGUCUUUUAUAGAGGUAAGUAGGCUUACGGCUUAGAGCAAUUCUAGCAGAUCCGGCAAACGUCUAUUCCAAAAAAAUAAAUCCUUCAAACAUAUACCACAUAUUAAAAUUCGCAGUUUGCGCCACUUGAAACAUCACCUGAGUUCAUCAUAUAUAAAACAUAACCGGAGUUCAUACUUAGAACAUACUCCCUCUGCUAGUGUCAAAAAUGAUUUUAUAUUCUGGGACGGAGGGAGUAGUUUAGACUUAAACAACAACGGAGUUCAUAGUUAAACAAUUUUCACACUAGCAUAAAACGGAAAUUAAACUAGAUCUACUCGUCACCGGACUUGCCAUCACCGGACUUGUCGACGCUAAGGUGGUGCUCCAUCAGGGAGUUGGAGAGAACGAAGGCGAGUUGGUACUCCUCCCUUGCCUCGAACCAUGGGGCAGCCGCCUCCUUCGCCUCGAACAAUGCGACCUCCACCGCCCGGAGACGCCUCAGCGCGGGGGAAGAGGCGGUCCUACCGAUUGAACUGGGUCCACGCCCGUGCUCCGGCGCACGGGUGCCACGCGUGCACGCCACUCAUCCACCAACGGGCGGAGGGAGGGGCUCCUGGCCUCAGCGUCGUUGCGGCGCUUGCGAGGCGGCUUGCCGCCGGGACCGCCGNNN